UUCCGGUUGAUCCUGCCGGAGGCCAUUGCUAUCGGAGUCCGAUUUAGCCAUGCUAGUCGCACGAGUUCAGACUCGUGGCAGAUAGCUCAGUAACACGUGGCCAAACUACCCUACGGACCGGAAUAACCUCGGGAAACUGAGGCUAAUGCCGGAUACGGCUCUCAGCCUGGAGUUGGCGAGAGCUGGAAACGCCCCGGCGCCGUAGGAUGUGGCUGCGGCCGAUUAGGUAGACGGUGGGGUAACGGCCCACCGUGCCCAUAAUCGGUACGGGUCAUGAGAGUGAGAGCCCGGAGACGGUAUCUGAGACAAGAUACCGGGCCCUACGGGGCGCAGCAGGCGCGAAACCUUUACACUGCACGACAGUGCGAUAAGGGGACUCCGAGUGCGAGGGCAUACAGUCCUCGCUUUUCUGUACCGUAAGGUGGUACAGGAACAAGUGCUGGGCAAGACCGGUGCCAGCCGCCGCGGUAAUACCGGCAGCACAAGUGAUGGCCGAUAUUAUUGGGCCUAAAGCGUCCGUAGCCGGCCCGACAAGUCCGUUGGGAAAUCCACGCGCCCAACGCGUGGGCGUCCAGCGGAAACUGUCGGGCUUGGGGCCGGAGGACUCGAGGGGUACGUCCGGGGUAGGAGUGAAAUCCCGUAAUCCUGGACGGACCACCGGUGGCGAAAGCGCCUCGAGAGGACGGACCCGACGGUGAGGGACGAAAGCCAGGGUCUCGAACCGGAUUAGAUACCCGGGUAGUCCUGGCCGUAAACGAUGAUCGCUAAGGGGUGUGGCGCAGGCUACGAGCCUGCGCUGUGCCGUAGGGAAGCCGCGAAGCGAUCCGCCUGGGAAGUACGUCUGCAAGGAUGAAACUUAAAGGAAUUGGCGGG
rnacentral:rRNA from 1 species